ACGCUCGACACCUACUGGAGGCAGCAGUGGGGAAUAUUGCACAAUGGGGGAAACCCUGAUGCAGCGACGCCGCGUGGAGGAAGAAGGUCUUCGGAUUGUAAACUCCUGUUGUUGGGGAAAAAGAGGAUGGUACCCAACAAGGAAGUGACGGCUAACUACGUGCCAGCGGCCGCGGUAAUCUGAGCGGGCUGGCAAGGC
rnacentral:rRNA from 1 species